rnacentral:rRNA from 1 species
GUAAGGAAUAUUGGUCAAUGGGCGGAAGCCUGAACCAGCCAUGCCGCGUGCAGGACGAAGGCCCUACGGGUCGUAAACUGCUCUUGUACGGGAACAACCGCAGUUACGUGUAACUGUCUGUGUGUACCGUAAGAAUAAGGAUCGGCUAACUCCGUGCCAGCAGCCGCGGUAAUACGGAUGAUCCGAGCGUUAUCCGGAUUUAUUGGGUUUAAAGGGUGCGUAGGCGGCAGUUUAAGGCAGGAGUGAAAGACGGUGGCUCAACCAUCGCAGUGCUCUUGAUCCUGAACUGGUUAAAUGACAUUGAAGACGGCGGAAUGAGACGAGUAGCGGUGAAAUGCAUAGAUAUGUCUCAGAAGCACGAUAGCGAAGGCAGCUGUCUAAACGUUUAUUGACGCUGAUGCACGAAAGCGUGGGGAUCGAACAGGAUUAGAUACCCGUGUAGUCC